GACGAACGCUGGCGGCGUGCUUAACACAUGCAAGUCGAACGGAAAGGCCUGCUUUCCCUUGUGGAUUGCGGGUACUCGCGUGGCGAACGGGUGAGUAACACGUGAGUGAUCUGCCCCCAACUUGGGUAUAAGCCUGGGAAACUGGGUCUAAUUCCCGAUAGGACUGCAGGGUGGUGCCUGUGGUGGAAAACGAUUUUCUAGUGGUUGGGGAUGAGCUCGCGGCCUAUCAGCUUGUUGGUGGGGUAAUGGCCUACCAAGGCGGCGACGGGUAGCCGGCCUGAGAGGGUGGACGGCCACAGUGGGACUGAGAUACGGCCCAGACUCCUACGGGAGGCAGCAGUGGGGAAUAUUGCACAAUGGGCGGAAGCCUGAUGCAGCGACGCCGCGUGGGGGAUGACGGCCUUCGGGUUGUAAACUCCUUUCGACCGCGAGGAAGCCACCUGGUUGGAAGGGUGGUGACGGUAGUGGUAGAAGAAGCACCGGCUAACUACGUG
rnacentral:rRNA from 1 species